GGCUGGUCUGAAGGUAGUGAGUUAUCUCACUUGAUUGUUCACAGUCAGUUACAAAUUGAACUUCUUGUUCUACUACUUCCCUCCCUUCUCACUAAUGCACUUGACUAGUCUUAA
rnacentral:Y_RNA from 1 species